rnacentral:snRNA from 1 species
GUAAUCGCUUCGGCGGUACAUAUACUAAAAAUGGAACGAUAUGAAGAAGAUUAGCAGAGGCCCUGCACAAGGAUGACAAGCAAAAUCGUGAAGUGUUCCAUAUUUUA